rnacentral:misc_RNA from 1 species
GAUGAAGAACGCAGCGAAAUGCGAUAAGUAAUGUGAAUUGCAGAAUUCAGUGAAUCAUCGAAUCUUUGAACGCACAUUGCGCCCGCCAGUAUUCUGGCGGGCAUGCCUGUCUGAGCGUCAUUUCAACCCUCAUGCCCCUAGGGCGUGGUGUUGGGGAUCGGCCAAAGCCCGCGAGGGACGGCCGGCCCCUAAAUCUAGUGGCGGACCCGACGUGGCCUCCUCUGCGAAGUAGUGAUAUUCCGCAUCGGAGAGCGAUGAGCCCCUGCCGUUAAACCCCCAACUUUCCAAGGUUGACCUCAGAUCAGGUAGGAAUACCCGCUGAACUUAAGCAUAUCAAUAAGCGGAGGA